rnacentral:rRNA from 1 species
GAUGAACGCUGGCGGCGUGCCUAAUACAUGCAAGUCGAGCGAACAGAUGAGGAGCUUGCUCCUCUGACGUUAGCGGCGGACGGGUGAGUAACACGUGGAUAACCUACCUAUAAGACUGGGAUAACUUCGGGAAACCGGAGCUAAUACCGGAUAAUAUAUUGAACCGCAUGGUUCAAUAGUGAAAGACGGUUUUGCUGUCACUUAUAGAUGGAUCCGCGCCGCAUUAGCUAGUUGGUAAGGUAACGGCUUACCAAGGCAACGAUGCGUAGCCGACCUGAGAGGGUGAUCGGCCACACUGGAACUGAGACACGGUCCAGACUCCUACGGGAGGCGGCAGUAGGGAAUCUUCCGCAAUGGGCGAAAGCCUGGCGGAGCAACGCCGCGUGAGUGAUGAAGGUCUUCGGAUCGUAAAACUCUGUUAUUAGGGAAGAACAAAUGUGUAAGUAACUAUGCACGUCUUGACGGUACCUAAUCAGAAAGCCACGGCUAACUACGUG